rnacentral:rRNA from 1 species
UACGUAGGGGGCAAGCGUUGUCCGGAAUCAUUGGGCGUAAAGAGCGUGUAGGCGGCUCGAUAAGUCUGCUGUGAAAGUCCAGGGCUCAACCCUGGAAGGCCGGUGGAAACUGUCGGGCUAGAGUCCGGAAGAGGCGAGUGGAAUUCCGGGUGUAGCGGUGGAAUGCGUAGAGAUCCGGAAGAACACCGGUGGCGAAGGCGGUCUGCUGGGCAGUUGCUGACACUGAGGCGCGACAGCGUGGGGAGCAAACAGG